GUCCUGGAAAGGCCGGCGAUACAGGGUGAUAGCCCCGUACACGAAAACGACCUUGAUGUGAAAUCGAGUAGGGCGGGACACGUGACAUCCUGUCUGAAUAUGGGGGGACCAUCCUCCAAGGCUAAAUACUCCUGACUGACCGAUAGUGAACCAGUACCGUGAGGGAAAGGCGAAAAGAACCCCUGUGAGGGGAGUGAAAUAGAACCUGAAACCGUGUACGUACAAGCAGUGGGAGCCCUUCGGGGUGACUGCGUACCUUUUGUAUAAUGGGUCAGCGACUUACAUUUUGUAGCGAGGUUAACCGUAUAGGGGAGCCGUAGGGAAACCGAGUCUUAACUGGGCGUCUAGUUGCAAGGUGUAGACCCGAAACCGGGUGAUCUAGCCAUGGGCAGGUUGAAGGUUGAGUAACAUCAACUGGAGGACCGAACCCACUAACGUUGCAAAGUUAGGGGAUGACCUGUGGCUGGGGGUGAAAGGCCAAUCAAACUCGGAGAUAGCUGGUUCUCCCCGAAAGCUAUUUAGGUAGCGCCUCGGACGAAUACUACUGGGGGUAGAGCACUGUUUGGGCUAGGGGGUCAUCCCGACUUACCAACCCCAUGCAAACUCCGAAUACCAGUAAGUAAUAUCCGGGAGACACACGGCGGGUGCUAACGUCCGUCGUGAAGAGGGAAACAACCCAGACCGCCGGCUAAGGUCCCAAAGUUCUGGUUAAGUGGGAAACGAUGUGGGAAGGCUCAGACAGCUAGGAUGUUGGCUUAGAAGCAGCCAUCAUUUAAAGAAAGCGUAAUAGCUCACUAGUCGAGUCGGCCUGCGCGGAAGAUGUAACGGGGCUCAAAC
rnacentral:rRNA from 1 species